rnacentral:rRNA from 1 species
UACGUAGGGUGCGAGCGUUGUCCGGAAUUAUUGGGCGUAAAGGGCUCGUAGGCGGUUUGUCGCGUCGGGAGUGAAAACCUCGGGCUUAACUCGGGGCUUGCUUUCGAUACGGGCAGACUGGAGGUAUGCAGGGGAGAACGGAAUUCCUGGUGUAGCGGUGAAAUGCGCAGAUAUCAGGAGGAACACCUAUUGCGAAGGCAGCUCGCUGGGACGUAACUGACGCUGAGACGCGAAAGCGUGGGGAGCAAACAGG